AAAUCAUAAUGAGGAUAUCUCCUCAAAAGCUCUCCAAAUCGCUCCCAUGCCUCGAAUAAGGAUUUUGCUUAUUAUUAGAAACAACAUAUCUCCGUCAUAAGCUU